rnacentral:misc_RNA from 1 species
GAUGAAGAACGCAGCGAAAUGCGAUAAGUAAUGUGAAUUGCAGAAUUCAGUGAAUCAUCGAGUCUUUGAACGCACAUUGCGCCCCCUGGUAUUCCGGGGGGCAUGCCUGUCCGAGCGUCAUUGCCGCCCUCAAGCACGGCUUGUGUGUUGGGCCCCCGCCCCCCGGCUUCGGGGGGCGAGCCCGAAAGGCAGCGGCGGCACCGCGUCCGGUCCUCGAGCGUAUGGGGCUUCGUCACCCGCUCUGUAGGCCCGGCCGGCGCCCGCCGGCGACCCCAAUCAAUCUUUCCAGGUUGACCUCGGAUCAGGUAGGGAUACCCGCUGAACUUAAGCAUAUCAAUAACGGAGGA